rnacentral:rRNA from 1 species
UGGGGAAUUUUGCACAAUGGGGGAAACCCUGAUGCAGCGACGCCGCGUGAUUUAGAAGGCCUUCGGGUUGUAAAAAUCUUUUCUAUGGGAAGAAAAUGACAGUACCAUAGGAAUAAGGACCGGCUAAUUACGUGCCCGCAGCCGCGGUAAUACGUAAGGUCCGAGCGUUGUCCGGAAUCAUUGGGCGUAAAGGGUACGUAGGCGGGUAAGCAAGUUAGAAGUGAAAUCCUAUAGCUCAACUAUAGUAAGCUUUUAAAACUGCUCAUCUUGAGGUAUGGAAGGGAAAGUGGAAUUCCUAGUGAAGCGGUGAAAUGCGCAUAUAUUAGGAGGAAUACCGGUGGCGAAGGCGACUUUCUGGCCAUAACCUGACGCUGAGGUACGAAAGCGUGGGUAGCAAGCAGG